AGGCUGCAACUCGCCUACACGAAGCUGGAAUCGCUAGUAUCGCGGAUCAGCACGCCGCGGUGAAUACGUUCCCGGGCCUUGUACACACCGCCCGUCACACCAUGAGAGUCUGUAACACCCAAAGCCGGUGGGAUAACCUUUAUAGGAGUCAGCCGUCUAAGGUAGGACAGAUGAUUAGGGUGAAGUCGUAACAAGGUACC
rnacentral:rRNA from 1 species